ACAAACUUGGUCAUUUAGAGGAAGUAAAAGUCGUAACAAGGUUUCCGUAGGUGAACCUGCGGAAGGAUCAUCAAAGGGGGAAGGGGGAGGGGUCUGAGGAUCUCUUGCCCCAACCAAUCUUGUGUGAACUGUAGCGAGCAUACGCGUGGGUGUGUUGGUGGGAAAGGGAGGAGUGUCUCUUGCCCGCCGCCAUCACGCUUGCACAACUAUCCAGUUUAUCUUGUCUAACUGUCACAAAUAACAAAUCACAACUUUUAACAAUGGAUCUCUUGGCUCUCGCAUCGAUGAAGAACGCAGC
rnacentral:misc_RNA from 1 species